UACGAAUGGGGCAAGCGUUGUUCGGAAUCACUGGGCUUAAAGCGUACGUAGGCGGACAUGAAAGUCAGGAGUGAAAUCCCGGGGCUCAACCCCGGAAUUGCUUUUGAAACUCCAUGUCUGGAAUCCGGGAGGGGUUAGUGGAAUUCCGAGUGUAGAGGUGAAAUUCGCAGAUAUUCGGAGGAACACCAGUGGCGAAGGCGACUGACUGGACCGGCAUUGACGCUGAGGUGCGAAAGCGUGGGGAGCAAACAGG
rnacentral:rRNA from 1 species